UAGGGAAUCUUCGGCAAUGGACGAAAGUCUGACCGAGCAACGCCGCGUGAGUGAAGAAGGCUUUCGGAUCGUAAAACUCUGUUGUUAGAGAAGAACAAGGACGUUAGUAACUGAACGUCCCCUGACGGUAUAUAACCAGAAAGCCACGGCUAACUACGUGCCAGCAGCCGCGGUAAUACGUAGGUGGCAAGCGUUGUCCGGCUUUAUUGGGCGUAAAGCGAGCGCAGGCGGUUUCUUAAGUCUGAUGUGAAAGCCCCCGGCUCAACCGGGGGGGGUCAUUGGAAACUGGGAGACUUGAGUGCAGAAGAGGAGAGUGGAAUUCCAUGUGUAGCGGUGAAAUGCGUAGAUAUAUGGAGGAACGCCAGUGGCGAAGGCGGCUCUCUGGUCUGUAACUGACGCUGAGGCUCGAAAGCGUGGGGAGCAAACAGG
rnacentral:rRNA from 1 species